rnacentral:rRNA from 1 species
UACGAAGGGGGCUAGCGUUGCUCGGAAUCACUGGGCGUAAAGGGCGCGUAGGCGGAUCUUUAAGUCGGGGGUGAAAGCCUGAGGCUCAACCUCAGAAUUGCCUUCGAUACUGGAGAUCUUGAGACCGGAAGAGGUAAGUGGAACUGCGAGUGUAGAGGUGAAAUUCGUAGAUAUUCGCAAGAACACCAGUGGCGAAGGCGGCUUACUGGACCGGUACUGACGCUGAGGCGCGAAAGCGUGGGGAGCAAACAGG